CUCUUAACUGCUGAGCCAUGUCUCAGGUCUCAUCUACACUGUAACCCAUGUCAGAGUGCUCCCUUUCUGUGGCCAAGGGACAGCCAUUUAGAAUGUCUAUCUGAUGACCCUUUGACACAUACUUGGCUCUCGUUCCUUCAGCCUACCCGAGGAGAGCAGCUUCCUGAGAAUAGGACUGGCCUGGAAGGAGGCCGGCCUCCUGGAGGAGGUGGUUGGUGUAGCCUGGGUCUUCCAAGAGCUGGGGUCUGGAAAGAGGUGUUGAAGGAUACACGGUAGAUUGUUGGAUAGCAGGUCCAACAAUCUGGAAGCUGGAGGUGGCUCAGGUGAGUGUACCAGCUGGGUGCUGGGAAUGGGCCAGUUACAGUUGCUGCCCCUCUGGGUAUCUUUGAUGUACCCAUAGGUCCCUAGCCCUCAGGUCAGAGGGUCACAUUCCUGUAUCCAAGGAGACUGGGAGGGUGGGGAUCACAGAAUUAGAUGGAAUGUGGAAGUGGUUUUUUGUUUGUUUGGUUUGGUUUGGUUUUUUGUUUUGUUUUGUUUUAUUUUGUUUUGUUCUUUUGGUUUCUCGAGACAGGGUUUCCCUGCAUAGUUUUGGUGCCUGUGCUGGAUCUCGCUCUAUAGACCAGGCUGGCCCUGUACUCACAGGCAUCUGCCUGGCUCUGCCUUCCAAGUGCUGGGAUUAAAGGCGUGCACCACCACUGCCCUGCUUUGUGCAGAGGUUUUUACAUGCUGGUUGUUCCUUUCCGAUGUGUCCCCUUCCCUAUGACAGGCUUCAGCCUCAGUCUACUCCCUGGCACCCCGUGAUUGGAUAGCGACACCUAUGGCUCAGGCCAGCCUUGCUGUGAA